rnacentral:rRNA from 1 species
GACGAACGCUGGCGGCGCGCCUAACACAUGCAAGUCGAACGAGCGAGAGAGAGUUUGCUUUCUCGAGCGAGUGGCGAACGGGUGAGUAACGCGUGAGGAACCUGCCUCAAAGAGGGGGACAACAGUUGGAAACGACUGCUAAUACCGCAUAACAGUUUAUGCCGCAUGGCAUAAGAGUGAAAGGCGCUUUCGGGUGUCGCUGAUGGAUGGACCCGCGGUGCAUUAGCUAGUUGGUGAGGUAACGGCUCACCAAGGCCACGAUGCAUAGCCGACCUGAGAGGGUGAUCGGCCACACUGGGACUGAGACACGGCCCAG